rnacentral:lncRNA from 1 species
CUAAGACACCAUAUUCUAUCAAAUUGAUGUAUCAUAAGUCAUUUCAGGUGUGGAGUUAAGUGACUUGACUUGGGCCACACGGGAAUUGUUGGCACGAGGAUAUGAACAUGGUUCUCUUUGACCUCAAAGCUUAUAUCAUUAAUACAGUAUUGCCUAGAAAUGGAAAUAACUGCUGUAGUUAUCCAAAAUCUAUAUCUUGGAACCAUAGGGAAAAUAAAGAAUGAAAGGUAAUUCUGCAAGGAUAAGGCAUAAAUCUAAAACUGUCAGUGUUCUUGGCUAGGGAAAGAAGGAAUGUGUGUGUGUGUGUGUGUGUGUGUGUGUGUGUGUGUGUGUGCUGAGUGUGGGAAAGAAUAAAAACUAUAAAAAUAGGUCCUGCCUGGAAGAGCUGACCAAGGGAAAAUGGACAAGGAGUAGUUCUCAUUUUGGAACCAAGGUUUCAUUGCAGUUGUAGCUCAAGGUUUAGGGAGUCUCCCCUUAGACAAACAAGGGGGAUGCUGGCUUGCUCAUGCCAGGGCUGGUCCCGAGGACCACGUGCUCACCUGGGCGGCAUGGUUGGUGAUGUGGAACACCUUUGAAAUAACAUUUGUUGCCCUUCAGCUGUUAUUCUGUUAUUCUUAGGAGUUUUUUUUUUUCUCCCAGAAAGCCACAGCCUUGAGUAUUACUCUUCAAUAGUACAGACUAAUUGGGCAAUGGAAUAAGUCAGACUGCCGUUACAGAUUCUAUAUGAAACAAUUAUAAAAAAACUUCAGGGGCUGGCCCCAUGGCGCAGCGGUUAAGUUCCCACGUUCCGCUUCUCGGCGGCCUGGGGUUCACCUGUUUGGAUCCCGGGUGCGGACAUGGCACUGCUUGGCAAAAGCCAUGCUGUGGUAGGCGUCCCACGUAUAAAGUAGAGGAAGAUGGGCACAGAUGUUAGCUCAGGGCCAGUCUUCCUCAGCAAAAAAAAAAGAGGAGGAUUGGCAGUAGUUAGGUUAGGGCUAAUCUUCCUCAAAAAACAAACAAACAAACAAACAAACAAACAAAAAACAAAACUUCAGCUCUUUGAGGAAACCGAUCUUCCAACUUGGUCUGUUCUCCAGAGAGAAAGAAAAAUGUCGUCUUCUCGGAAUGGGGAAAGUUAGAUAUAUUUUCCUUUCCCAGAUUGUGUUUAGAAACUGUGGGCCAACCUUUCAUUCACCAAAUACCCAAUGUUACCGGAGUAGGAUGCCCAGAGCCACAGCAGCAGGAAUGCAUUAGCUUGCCACCCUUCUUCUUUACAGUUCUCUGAAACGUCCCAGCUCCACCCUCCUUCCCACUUGGCUUGCCUGUUCAGAGGCCCAGGCCAGCCAUCUUGGUCACUUUCAUGGAGUGGUGGUUGAAGGGAUCAACAGCAUGUGUUUAGUUAGUGCCCAUUGAGUGCAGAGUGCUCUGUUGGGCUACCAUGGUGAGUGGGAACAAACAAGUGAGAUUAUUAAGCUACACUAAGGAUAGAAAAAUAAAUAAAACACCAUCCCUGUUCUUAGGGAGCACAGAGUCUGUUGGGCUGACUACAAAGUCAGAUGCCUAUACAGGGACCAGGUAGGCAAGGUCAGUGAAGAAAGAAGGUCGUGUGGGGAUUGUGGUAUUGGGGAGAGCAAUUCUUCUUCAUGAAGCAGCAUCCACAGCUCAUCUCCAGAAAAUCGUUGUUAUUUAGGAGGAUAAACAAUGUGGUCUGAUGUUUCAAGAGAUUCUAAAACUCCAAUUUUUUAAAUUAUGGAAAAUCUCCAGAUUUUUAAUGUUGGCAACUAAUGUAAGGUGUCAUUUUAAAUAUUGUUUGGGUAAAAAUAAAAAACAUAUAUGGGUUAGAUACAGUCUGUGGGAAAUCAUUCUGUGACCUCCAAGGGGAGAAAGACAAAAAGAAUAGUGAUCAAAAUCAGUUGGAUGGGUGUUAUGAUAGGGGAGAUCUGGGUGCUGUGUGAGCAGAGGUGAAGUCAGGAUAGGCUUUCUGGAAGAGGGGCCAUGCGUAUGAAUCGUGUCUGCACAGUACUGGCUAGUCAGAGGGAGGUACGGUGGAGUAUGAGUUCUUGACUAAGGAGCCUGCAUGUCCAAAGACAGGGAUCUGUGUGAAGCAUGAUUUGCUGGGGUAACUGGAAGUCAUUUAGUGGAACUGAAGCACUUCGUACAAGUUAGGGAGUUUUGAGGACUGAAGCUUGAGACUGAAGUUGGUGCCAGAUCCCAAAGGACCCUGAACAUCCUGCUAAGGAUUUUGCAUUUUACUCUGCAGGCAUUAGGAUGUUUUUGAGCAAAUUUAAGCAGAGGAUCAGCAUAAUCCGAUAUGAGGUUUAGAAAGACUAUGCUGUUAGAAAAGGGCAAAAGCCGGGUAAGUUUGGUGUUUGUUUAGAGGUUCUUUCAGUGAUUUGAGUGAGAGAUAAGUAUUUGAAUUAUACCAGUGGUGACAGAAAUACAGAAAAGACAUUCAAAGGAUAUCUAGGAGGUGACCUCAGUGGGACUUGAUGAGAAAGGUGAGGGGGAGUGGGGAGUCCAGAAAGACUCCCAGGUUUCUGGCUUGAGGGAUUGAGUUGAUGGCACCCAAAAAAGAAGGGAAGGAGUGCAAGAGGAAUGGGUUUUGUGUUUGAAGCUGAGGAGUUCAGUUUUGGAUGGGUUGAGUUUGAAAUGAACAGGCAGAAAUUCUCACUGAGAGUUUCAUCCAGAGAACUGGGUUUCCGAAGUGAGCUCCAGGCUGGAGAUGUAGAUUUGGAUUUCUCGGUUGCGUUUGUUGAAGGCAGGGAGUAAGCGCAUGUGAUCAUCCGUAAGAUAGAGGAUUGAACCCUGGCGAACACCUCCGCUGGGAAUGGGACGUGAAAGUGGAGGCAGCUAAGAAGCAGCCACGGAGGUGGCAGGAAAGUCAGGAGGAGUGAUGCUCUGCUAACCAACUUCAGAGAGACUUAAGGAGGAAGUUGUAUACAGAGCCAAGUGCUGUGGAAAAGGCUAAUGUGUAGAGAUUGAUAAAUAUUUGUCUACUGGAUUUAGCAACAGGAUGGUCAUAGUUGAUCUUGGCAAUGGCAACUUUAGGGAUGGUUGGGGGAGAAGCGGGCUGAAAAUUGAGUAAAGUGAAUGGAGGUGAGAAAGAGGAAACUCUGAGUAUUGAAAAUCCUUUUUAAAGUAGUGUCUGUAAAGGGGAUGAGAGAUAAAGAGUGAUACUGAAAAGACUGUAUAUGGUAAAGGGAGGGAUUUUUAAACCUGGAAGAGGCUUAGAAAUGCUUGUGUGUUGACAUGAAACAGCUAUUAUGAAUGAGGCAGCUCAGCUGCUGAAGAGAGAAGGAUGACAGGUACAGUAAGUGGCCCAGGAUGGGCGACCAGAUUGUCCUAUAACACGUUUUAUCCACGGUCUAAUGGCCCCCUAGUCCUUUGGUUAUCUUGUUUUGUACUUUUCUCUCAGCUCCUGCUUUUUGCCCUCUUUCGUUCUUAUGACAUGUUUGUUGGCAUCUCUACACAAUUUCUCUGGUUGUGGCAGUGUCUAGGAAUAGCUACAAAGACCGAAGCAGGCAGACACCACUCUUGUAUUUCCAUCCGCAGGACUGCUACUUAUGAACCAAGAACAAACAGGAUCUAUGUAAAGUUGAUUUUUAUGCCAUUUAAUAUAGGAAUACUAAAAAUUGUCAAUUUUUCCCAGAGAUGUAAGGUCAAUAAGUGCAGUGGGAAGCCUGGUCCCAGGCCACUGAUAACCUGGCAAGGGUAGCAGUAAAUGUGCCCCUUGGCUGCCACUAUUACUUUAAUUAAAUUUCAAACUGAAAUGUAAAUUUCAUGUCCUAUUUUUCUAAGUGACCAGGGUCCUUUGAGGGAAGAAGAAAGUGGAGAAGCUCAUGACUUUGUCAGGGACUGAGAGCUGAUUCACUAACUUGCAUCACGAUUGUUUACAGCUGGCAUUGACAUAGCUCAGGAGCUCUGUUUGGGUUGAUUUUAUGCUGAAAAAUUUCAACUGCUGCAAAUGCCAAAACUCCUCUCACUCCUACCCCCACCCCCACUCCCAGACUAACUCAGGCUGGAUAACGAAAUCUUAAUAAAACUUUUUAUCAAAGUGUGGUCCUCAAAGGCCAAGUAAGAUGAAGAGGGCAUCCACGCAGAGCGGUAGAGCGCUGGAGCCUGAGUGAGUCAAGUGUGGUGUCCACCCACUGGGCAGAGUAAGAAGGCCACCCCAAGGUAGGGUGACCUAUGGGGACUCAGGAUGAGGAAGGCACCCAGUUGGAUGAGGGCAGCCUGGUGCGGAAAGUCAGAACCCAAAUGGGAUGAAGAAGGUGUCUGCAUGGGCCAGAUGUAGAGUGUUGCUGUCUGAGUGGGUAGGUAAGAGGACUAGAUGAUAGGGGAGGAGGUGGCUGAGAAGAUGGGAGAUUUGUAACAUAAAGUGGAAUAGAUCAUAUCAGUAAGUAUAUUAAAGAUAAUGAAAGCAAGAUUUCUCUCUGUUUGUGGAGGGAGUUACAAAUAUGGAAAGGAGGAAUAUCUGACUUAACUUGACGGUAUUGAAUUGGAAUUGGAAGUAUAAUUGUGAACUUGUGGUUUUCAAUAUAUGGAUACAUAGAAAUAAAAUGGUUGCACACGUGUGUGUAUAUAUGUAUAUGUAUACAAUCCCCAUUUGUAUCCAUUAAGAGGGCCUAGGAACAGGGACAUCUCUGUAGCAGGAAGCAUGCCUGGCAUCCAGAUCACGGCUUCUAAAUAUUGUUCUCCACUAAAAAGAACCAGAGCUCCUUGAAGAAAUGGCUGAUUCCAAGUCUGAGGCAGGGAAAAUGCAACAUGAGCCUAGAACGUCUUCUCCGAGGAAGGGAAUGUUUAUACAAGAAUGGAGACUUGUUAGAAAGACAAAGUGGCCAGUUUGAAGUGCUUCUUACUGGGAAGAUAAUAAUAAAUGGAACAAGAAUUACUUAACAGUAGAGAAGCCUGGAAGACACCAUCUCAAAUAAGUGAUAAAGUGAACAUCAUCAGUAAUGGGACGAAUUGAAAUCAUGGGCCACUCGACAAGAAACAAUGAACAGAUCUCAACAUCACAUCUGUAAUAUUCCUGCCCGAGGAGGGUAACUUGAAUCUAAUCAUGAAGAUACAUCAUUGGACAGGCCCAAAGUGAGGGACAUUAUACAAAAUAACUUGCUUGUAGUCUUCAAAAGAAUAGAGGUCAUGAAAGCCAAGGAAUAAAGCAGAGAAGUCAAGAUGAAGAAAAAAGCAGAGAAACUGUUAAGACUGAAGGGGUUUCAAAAGACUUGAUAACUAAAUGCAAUAUGUGAUUCCUUUCAGUAUAGAUGAUAUUAUUGGGACAAUUGGUGAAAGUUAAGUGAGGCCUGAAGAUUGAUGGGAGGGAUGUGUCAGUGUUCACUUCCUGAUUUUGAUGGUUGCAUUGUGGUUGUGUAGGAGUUGUCCCUGUUUGUAGGAUAUGCACUCUUGGGAGGUUGGAGCAUCAUACUUGCAACUGAAUCUUAAAUGGUUCAUAAAAAGUUCUUUAUAGCAUAUUUGCUACUUUUCCGUAAUUUUGUGAUUAUUCCAAAAUAAAAUAAAAACUAUAUAUAUAUUCAUUAAGACUUUAUUUUUUAGAGCAAUUUAAAGUUCACAGUAAAAUUGAGAAGGCACAGAGAUUUCCCAUAUACCCUUUGCCCCCACAUAUGCACAAUUUCCCCCAUUAUCAACAUCCCCCACCAGAGUGGUACAUUUGUUACAAUAGAUGAACAUACGUUGACACAUCGUUAUCACCGAAAGCCCAUAGUUUACAUUAUGGUUCACUCUUGAAGUUGUACAUUCUAUAGGUAUGGAUAAACAUAUAAUGACAUGUAUCCAUUGUUAUGGUACCAUACAGAGUAUUUUUGCUGCCCUAAAAAUCCUCUGUGCUCUGCCUAUUCAUCCCUUCCCCAUUCCAACCCCUGGUAAUCACUGAUCUUUUUACUGUCUCCAUACUUUUGCCUUUUCCAGAGUGUCAUAUAGUUGGAAUCAUAUAGUAUGUAGCCUUUUUAGAUUGGAUUCCUUCGUUUAGGAGUAUGCCCUUAAGUUUCCUUCAUGGCUAUUCAUGGCUUGAUAGCCCAUUUCUUUCUAGCACUGGGUAAUAUUCCACCGUCUGAUGUACUGGUUUGUCUAUUCACCUACUGAAGGACAUCUUGGUUGCUUCCAAGUUUGGGCAAUCAUGAAUAAAACUGCUAUAAACAUCUACAUGCAGGUUUUUGUGUGGACAUAAGUUUUCAACUUCUUUGGGUAGUUACAAAUGAGUAUGGUUGCUGGAU